rnacentral:rRNA from 1 species
UACGUAGGGUGCGAGCGUUGUCCGGAAUUAUUGGGCGUAAAGAGCUCGUAGGCGGUGUGUCGCGUCGGCCGUGAAAACCUGGGGCUCAACUCUGGGCGUGCGGUCGAUACGGGUAUCACUGGAGUUCGGCAGGGGAGACUGGAAUUCCUGGUGUAGCGGUGAAAUGCGCAGAUAUCAGGAGGAACACCGGUGGCGAAGGCGGGUCUCUGGGCCGAUACUGACGCUGAGGAGCGAAAGCAUGGGUAGCGAACAGG